AUGGACGUUACCGGGGACGCCGGUGGAGGUCGCCGCCCCAACUUCCCCCUGCAGCUCCUCGAGAAGAAGGAGGAGCAUCCGUGCUCCAUCUCCCCGGAUGCUGGGCUCGGGACGAAUGGGUCGGCGACGGGGGAGCUGCAGGUGCGGAAGGCGGCACCGCCUAAGCGGACCACGAGCAAGGACCGGCAUACGAAGGUGGACGGGCGCGGCCGCCGCAUCCGGAUGCCGGCGAUCUGCGCGGCGCGGGUGUUCCAGCUGACGCGGGAACUGGGGCACAAGACGGACGGCGAGACCAUCGAGUGGCUCCUGCAGCAGGCGGAGCCCGCUGUGAUCGCGGCCACCGGCACAGGCACCAUCCCGGCCAACUUCACAUCUCUCAACAUCUCCCUCCGCUCCUCCGGCUCCAUGCUCUCCACCAUACCCGCCCACCUCCGCGCCGCCGGCCUGCCGGGGUCUCGCUUUGGAGGUGGCCCACGGGCGGACGCGUGGGACCGCUUCGUCGGUCUCGGGUUCGGCGGUGGCCUCGAGAGCCCGGCCUCCACCACCACCUCGUCGUCGUCCCCGCUGCUGCUGAGCUUCCACUCCGGAAGCGUCGGCCUCGACGUUUCGCCGUCGUCGGCGACGGCUGCGGCCAACACGGAACUGUCCAGGAAGCGGCGUUGGGAGCAAGAAAUGCAGUAG
rnacentral:rRNA from 1 species